UUGUAUAAGAAACAAUUAACAACCACAUAAUAGAGAAAUAUCAAAAUUAAAGUUCACUUAGAAUGUGGUCAAACAACAACUGAGGGAAUAGUUGCGGUGCACUUUCAAAUAUUUUAUAUUUUUUUCUUUUAUGGCCUAAGAUCGCAAAGAAACCACACUAUACAGCACCAUAUGUAAAAAGUUAGGGUUUGAUUCUUUCCAUAAGAUAUGACCCAAAUUUGGGCAUACGCAAAAUACUUGUGAUGGCGAACCAAUUGUUCUUGGAGCCAAAGAACAAAAGUAUUUUCUCUUAUUCUUUUUCUUUACUUGCAGACCAAGUAUUUUCCCUAUAAAUAUUGUUCUUCUUCCUUCAUUUAAAUCAUCCCCCAAUUUUUAGAAACUCUUCUUUGUAAGUGAUAACAGUGAGGUAUUCGUUUGGAAUAUAUUUUUGGGAUUAAUCAAAGUUCUAUCUCUAAUUUGGUACUCCCUUUUGUGUACAGGUUGUUAGAAUAAAUUUGCUCCUCUCCGCUUGUUGAUUGUAAAGGGAAGAGCGAUUACGAGGGGGAGAAAUGCCGCAUUUGAAGCAUUCAAAUAAGCGAUCAACGUCGUCCAUUAGGCAGCAGCAGCAGCGGCAGGGAGGAAGAUCAUUACAUUCAAGAGUUCAUCGACUUGGAGCGUGAAUUGAGUCCAAUUUAACCUUCACAUAACCAGUCAAAGCACAUUCUCAACUAAAAUCGCUUGAAUUACAAAGCAGGAAAACUUUAGCAAAAACUAAAAAUUCGACAUCGAUUUGAAUAGAUUGAAAACAAAAUACCUUCAA